ACUGGUUAAUCCCUGUUGAUGCAUGGUUAUGUAAUGUUUUUAUGUUGAGUUAAGAACCAGGCUUGUUGUAUGUAAUGUUGACCCAGCUAGAGCAUUUGAUGAGGGCUCUAGCAUGGGGAAGUUUAUGUUCACAGUUAUGUUGUAGCAUACGGAUCAAGCUUGGUGUAUGUUCAGUUUUACAGGUUUUAUGUUAAAGUUUUUGAUCAUGUGUGGAAUUUGACCAGGUGAUAGUAUGUAUGUUUGGCUUGCUACGGGUCCCGGCGGCCUUAAGCCGAUCUGGAUCCUAGCGCCGGUGGCGGUUCGGGCCGUUAC
rnacentral:lncRNA from 1 species